rnacentral:rRNA from 1 species
CUUGCACAGAAUGAUUAGUGGCGAACGGGUGAGUAACACGUGAGUAACCUGCCCCUGACUCUGGGAUAAGCCUGGGAAACUGGGUCUAAUACCGGAUAUGCACCGUGGACCGCAUGGUUUUUGGUGGAAAGAUUUUUUGGUCAGGGAUGGACUCGCGGCCUAUCAGCUUGUUGGUGAGGUAAUGGCAGGUGGUGCAUGGUUGUCGUCAGCUCGUGUCGUGAGAUGUUGGGUUAAGUCCCGCAACGAGCGCAACCCUCGUUCCAUGUUGCCAGCGGGUAAAGCCGGGGACUCAUGGGAGACUGCCGGGGUCAACUCGGAGGAAGGUGGGGACGACGUCAAAUCAUCAUGCCCCUUAUGUCUUGGGCUUCACGCAUGCUACAAUGGCCGGUACAAUGGGUUGCGAUACUGUGAGGUGGAGCUAAUCCCAAAAAGCCGGUCUCAGUUCGGAUUGGGGUCUGCAACUCGACCCCAUGAAGUCGGAGUCGCUAGUAAUCGCAGAUCAGCAACGCUGCGGUGAAUACGUUCCCGGGCCUUGUACACACCGCCCGUCAAGUCACGAAAGUUGGUAACACCCGAAGCCGG